CUAAAGCCCUUGGUUUGCCUCUAAUUCCCACUCCUGUAACUUCUGCUGGCACCCUUUGGAUUCACAAGUGUGACUGUCAUCACCCUCCCCCUCACUUUCCCCGUAUGUGCUCCUGUCAUAUCCCACCUGUCUCUCAGAAAGAACAGCACAGGGUAACGGCAAGGUAGAACCAGAACCCACCGUAUACUUAAUUACGUUUUUAAAUUUUGGGAACCCCACACGUUCUCCACUGAUCACAAGAGAUAUCUCUUCUACUCUCUCAGACAUCCAUGCUAUCGAGGUUUUGUUGGGACAAAUGAGAGGUGACCCUGAAAAAACAUUUAUAUCAUAAACCCUAACAAGUAACAAGCGUGGUGUGUGGGAAGCCUUAGAGCACUGCCGAAGGAAUAUACUGAGGAGUUCAAAUGUAGAAAACAU